rnacentral:lncRNA from 1 species
CAAUGGAUAGAUAAGUCUCAUUUAGCUAGAUCAUGUUUAACUAAAUAAGAAUAGACAAGUUUUUCUUAGAAUUUUCGUUACUCAUUUAAGGAAGUUAAUUAAUACUAGUAUUUUUUUAUCUAGGUGACAAUGAGUAAUAGAGAGAAUGAAGUCUGGACGAAUUUUGCCAAUACAAAAAGAGGAGCAAGAAGGACUACAAAAAAAAAAUACUAGCC